UACGAAGGGGGCUAGCGUUGCUCGGAAUUACUGGGCGUAAAGGGCGCGUAGGCGGACAGCUUAGUCAGAGGUGAAAGCCCAGGGCUCAACCUUGGAAUUGCCUUUGAUACUGGCUAUCUUGAGUUCGGGAGAGGUGAGUGGAAUGCCGAGUGUAGAGGUGAAAUUCGUAGAUAUUCGGCGGAACACCCGUGGCGAAGGCGGCUCUCUGGGACGGUACUGACGCUGAGACGCGAAAGCGUGGGGAGCAAACAGG
rnacentral:rRNA from 1 species